ACCUUACCAGUUUGACAUCUAGUGCCAUUUUAGAGAUACAAAGUUCUUCGGGGACGCUAAGACAGGUGGUGCAUGGCUGUCGUCAGCUCGUGUCGUGAGAUGUUGGGUUAAGUCCCGCAACGAGCGCAACCCUUGUUAUUAGUUGCCAGCAUUAAGUUGGGCACUCUAAUGAGACUGCCGGUGACAAACCGGAGGAAGGUGGGGAUGACGUCAAGUCAUCAUGCCCCUUAUGACCUGGGCUACACACGUGCUACAAUGGGCAGUACAACGAGAAGCGAGCCUGCGAAGGCAAGCGAAUCUCUGAAAGCUGUUCUCAGUUCGGACUGCAGUCUGCAACUCGACUGCACGAAGCUGGAAUCGCUAGUAAUCGCGGAUCAGCACGCCGCGGUGAAUACGUUCCCGGGCCUUGUACACACCGCCCGUCACACCAUGGGAGUCUGCGAUGCCCAAAGCCGGUGGCCUAACUUCGGGAAGGAGCCGUCUAAGGCAGGGCAGAUGCUGGGGUGAAGUCGUAACAAAGGUAACCAAUCACUAGUGAAUUCGCGGCCGCCUGCAGUUGACCAUAUGGAGAGUCCCAACGGUUGGU
rnacentral:rRNA from 1 species